rnacentral:lncRNA from 1 species
AGGACGUUACAUGUUUCCAUACAUUUAAUAAUACACACAGAACACAUUAGGGCCAAAUGACAAAGUUCCCAUUGUCAAUCAAACCGGCUCUUGAAACAGCCUUGAAAAACCCUUCUAGACACAUUACCAUAUCCCCUUUGUGGUUUCAUUUUGUUACAGGUCUUUGUUGCCUGGAUAUCAGGUGAUCAUUCAAUUUGUGUGUUCUCUGCAUUAAACAUCUCCAUUAAUUUAGAUUUCCACCGUAGCCUAUUGAAACCGACGUGUGGAAUCCUGUCCAAGGAUAAAUUAGGACUGUGUGUAUAGUUGGACCACACUGUAGACAAUUAAAAAGUAUAACUCCGUUUCCGUUAAACCUUUUAUAGUCCUUUUAAUUUCGCGCUGAAAGCGUAAGUCUCGCGCAGCCACAGCAGGCGGUGCUCCAGGCGGGGGGUAUUCAUCCACACACUCACUGACCAUCACACUCAAACCGGUAAAAACAAACAUGGCAAAUAUACAUUAACUUAAAAUAUACAUAUGCACAGCGUUUAUACGUGUUUAUUCCUGUAAUUUGGCUUAGCGGUGUUAAUCAGCAAUCGUCAUGUAUUUACACAAAUAAACAACAGUUGUUAGUACAGCUUAUAAAUGUAGCUAAUAAAAAGCCAGUUCAACUAAGCUAGCUUCUUCAUAGUGCUAUCAAAAAAUAAGGAAGUGUCCUCAGGUGUUCGCUUGUGGAAAGAGAAAGUAAUCACUAAUCGCAUUGUCAGCAGCACUGCGCUGACAAAGAUGUAAACGUCCCGUGUUUUUUUAGAUGUGAUUACGCCUGCGUAGUCCAUUAAAAUGUUGGACUCCAAUGACACCUUCUUUUCCUUGGACAAUCUCUUCUUUGAAGGGCCUGUCGUCCACAAAGUGUGAGUAGAGGGAAUACGGCCCAGCCCCCACUGCCAGAAAGAUACACUCUCCCCUCUCUUAAUUUGAUUGGUUUGUUCUUUCUGACAGGAAGCCAAUGUGCCAAGGGGCCAGUUCAUGGAGGUUGGAUGCUCCUCCAUCCACCUCUCAGAUCCCAUGCACCCAGGACAUCCAGAAAGAGGCAGAGACUCUCUCGUCCUUAUGCAAUGUCUUGGGGCCCUUCCCAUCCAAAUUCAUCAGUUCUCACGGCCUACAAAACCAUCAGGGAGAUACAGGGAAUAAUCAGGGGAACAAGGGCGGGGCUGACUGUUUUUGGGGAGGCCAGGGUUACUUCAGCCACUCUGAGGGACGUGGAGAUGAAACACCUCUGGACAAUGGCCAUGCAGCCGCUAACCGAAGGGCUUUGUAUGAAGAAUUUGGAGAAAGCACACCUCAACGAAGAAGGCAAGAUUUAGUAAUGUCUCUGUAACAAAAAUAGUAUUAUUAUAACA